rnacentral:sRNA from 1 species
GAAUUUAUUUACCUACCUAAAUUUCUUUGAUAUUUUAGCACGAUCAGUAUAACGUCUUUGUGGAGGAAAGCAAUAUUAAGAGGGAUGGAAAACGAGUUGCUAUUAGUUCACCAAAAACUAUUCAAUACCCAUAUUGUCAACAAUGUAACAUUCAUGAAUCUCGUUUUGUUUGCGCAGGAUGUGGCAACCAGUGGUAUUGCAGUAAAGAAUGUCAGAUUUCUGCAUGGGAUAAGCACUCCGAGAUUUGCACAGAAUGAACACCCGAACACCCCGUGUAAUUGGGAUAAAUGGAAUCGAUCAAUUCUAUCGAAUUGUAUUACAUAGUUUUAUUAUUUAUUGUAUUUUACAGAUUUCCUUUAUAGAACUGUCCAAUAAACUUACUUUAAAGCUGUAUCAUGUUUCGCGUAUACGGCCGUAAAUAUAAAACAGCCUUUAUAAAAAUGAGGCUUGCGUAUUA